rnacentral:rRNA from 1 species
GCACGAUUAGCUUGUUGGUGGGGUAACGGCCUACCAAGGCGACGACGGGUAGCCGGCCUGAGAGGGCGACCGGCCACACUGGGACUGAGACACGGCCCAGACUCCUACGGGAGGCAGCAGUGGGGAAUAUUGCGCAAUGGGCGAAAGCCUGACGCAGCGACGCCGCGUGGGGGAUGAAGGCCUUCGGGUUGUAAACCCCUUUCAGCAGGGACGAAGCGAAAGUGACGGUACCUGCAGAAGAAGCGCCGGCUAACUACGUGCCAGCAGCCGCGGUAACACGUAGGGCGCAAGCGUUGUCCGGAAUUAUUGGGCGUAAAGAGCUCGUAGGCGGUCUGUUGCGUCCGCUGUGAAAUCUCGGGGCUUAACCCCGAGCCUGCAGUGGAUACGGGCAGACUAGAGGUAGGUAGGGGAGAAUGGAAUUCCCGGUGUAGCGGUGAAAUGCGCAGAUAUCGGGAGGAACACCGGUGGCGAAGGCGGUUCUCUGGGCCUUACCUGACGCUGAGGAGCGAAAGCGUGGGGAGCA